GUAGUAGUUCAGUGGUAGAGAAUCUGCCUUUCAUGCAGAAGGUUCUGGGUUCCCCGGGUAGAACU